UCGAUUGAAUUGCCAGAACAAACAAUAUCCCAGCCAACGCAUGGGGAAGACGCCGCAGCGGAGAGUUCAAA